CUCAACGUAUAAUCAUUCGAGCUAGAAAACGGCGUUAUUUAUGUCAAUCAGUUUGAUGUCUUGCAUCUUCCCCUGUUGUUCAUAAGUCACUCCCACUUUCAAGCUUUGUCCGCCGAAAGGCACGAGUAAUUUUUGAAUACAGGUUUAUAAAAUAUGUCUAACGUAAUCACCGGUACCGUCAAGUUCUUCAACGAAACCAAGGGCUUCGGCUUCAUCCAGCAAGAAAACGGCCCGGAUGUGUUCGUUCACUUCAGCGCCAUCCAAGGUAACGGUUUCCGUACCCUGGCUGAAGGUCAGAAGGUACAAUUCUCCGUGACCCAAGGCCAAAAGGGUCCGCAAGCUGAGAACGUAACUGCCCUGUAAUAGGCAACCGAUUCUGAAAAAGCCGCUGCACUGCAGCGGCUUUUUGU
rnacentral:sRNA from 1 species